rnacentral:rRNA from 1 species
UGGCUCAGGACGAACGCUGGCGGCGUGCUUAACACAUGCAAGUCGAACGAUGAACCACUUCGGUGGGGAUUAGUGGCGAACGGGUGAGUAACACGUGGGCAAUCUGCCCUGCACUCUGGGACAAGCCCUGGAAACGGGGUCUAAUACCGGAUACUGAUCCUCGCGGGCAUCUGCGAGGUUCGAAAGCUCCGGCGGUGCAGGAUGAGCCCGCGGCCUAUCAGCUUGUUGGUGAGGUAAUGGCUCACCAAGGCGACGACGGGUAGCCGGCCUGAGAGGGCGACCGGCCACACUGGGACUGAGACACGGCCCAGACUCCUACGGGAGGCAGCAGUGGGGAAUAUUGCACAAUGGGCGAAAGCCUGAUGCAGCGACGCCGCGUGAGGGAUGACGGCCUUCGGGUUGUAAACCUCUUUCAGCAGGGAAGAAGCGAAAGUGACGGUACCUGCAGAAGAAGCGCCGGCUAACUACGUGCCAGCAGCCGCGGUAAUACGUAGGGCGCAAGCGUUGUCCGGAAUUAUUGGGCGUAAAGAGCUCGUAGGCGGCUUGUCACGUCGGUUGUGAAAGCCCGGGGCUUAACCCCGGGUCUGCAGUCGAUACGGGCAGGCUAGAGU